UACGGAAGGCAGCAGUAGGGAAUCUUCCGCAAUGGACGAAAGUCUGACGGAGCAACGCCGCGUGAACGAUGAAGGCUUUCGGGUCGUAAAGUUCUGUUGUUAGGGAAGAACAAGUACCGGAGUAACUGCCGGUACCUUGACGGUACCUAACCAGAAAGCCACGGCUAACUACGUGCCAGCAGCCGCGGUAAUACGUAGGUGGCAAGCGUUGUCCGGAAUUAUUGGGCGUAAAGCGCGCGCAGGUGGUUCUUUUAAGUCUGAUGUGAAAGCCCACGGCUCAACCGUGAGGGUCAUUGGAAACUGGGAACUUGAGUGCAGAAGAGGAAAGUGGAAUUCCACGUGUAGCGGUGAAAUGCGUAGAGAUGUGGAGGAACACCAGUGGCGAAGGCGACUUUUCUGGUCUGUAACUGACACUGAGCGCGAAAGCGUGGGGAGCGAACAGGGAUUAGAUACC
rnacentral:rRNA from 1 species